rnacentral:rRNA from 1 species
UACGUAGGGGGCAAGCGUUGUCCGGAUUUAUUGGGCGUAAAGGGCGCGUAGGCGGCGUGACAAGUCACUUGUGAAAUCUCCGGGCUUAACUCGGAACGGUCAAGUGAUACUGUCGUGCUAGAGUACAGAAGGGGCAACUGGAAUUCCCGGUGUAGAGGUGAAAUUCGUAGAUAUCGGGAGGAACACCGGUGGCGAAGGCGGCGAUCUGGGUCGAUACUGACGCUGAGGUGCGAAAGCGUGGGGAGCAAACAGG